rnacentral:lncRNA from 1 species
UUGGGCUGCGGAGGACCGGAUUCUCCCUCCCCCAGCUUUGGCCACCCACAGACCGGCUGUCAGCAGGGCCACUCACUCCGGGAUGCGAUGCCUUCAUUCACUCCCUCAUUCAUUCAUUCAUGGGGCGUUUGCUGAGCGUCCACUCUGCACCAUGAUCUACACUGGGCACCAGGGAAUCCCCUGUCCCGGCCCUCGGAUUGUCCACAGUCCAACAGAGAGACAAACACACACACACACACACACACUGUAGCUGGGGCUCUGAUGAGGGCAGCCCAGGGGACAAGGGACACAGGAGGCAUCCUGGGGAGGGUGGCAGGCACAGCAGGGAAGGCUUCUCAGAGGAAGUGUCCAUUGAGCUUGGUUUUAGGGGAUGUGGAGUUGGGUCCUGGAAGCAGGGAGGGGCCUGGCCUACCCCAGGAGCAAAGCCCCAGCCAGACUUUUACUGCAUGCCCCCCACUCAUUUACCCCCAACGGCCUCUUCCCUGGGCCGAGAGCUGAGGCCUCAGACGCGGCCCUGGACUGACACGAUCUCCUUCUACAACCAAAUCAGCACCCCCUUCACAACACGCCGAGAUAUUUCAAGAAGGAAAUGGAGAGGUCCUGUCUCAGGCACGGUGCAGCCAGGAAAACAGGAUUUCAAGCAGAGAAGGAUUGAAUCCGGGCUCUUAGGCGCUUCUAGAACCCCUGAAAGAGCUGGAAGAGUGAAGAGCAGGCAGCACCCCCCGCCCCGACCUUGGUGUUUGGAAAUCAGGAAGUGCCGGAAUUGCAGGCGCCCCUGCACCACAACUGGGUAACCUGAAUCGGUGUCUGCUGCGUCAAGAGAUUUUCACAUAUUGAGUACAUGGGGUAACUAUUCGGGUUCAAACUGAUUCGGCUUGAACUGAGAAGGCUGACUUAAGGACUAUUCAAAGUACCCUGUAUUCUGCUUUAACCGUUAAAGUAUGCACUCCUUUGAGAUAAGAAUGUGUACUUCCCCUCCUACGCCCGAUUGGUGACGCCCGAUUGGUAACACCCGUGUUAGUCCCUUUCCUGACAUCAGGGUCAUGUUGACCUGCAAUUUGCAACUAAAUUCCUCCUUGAAACUUUGAAAAUGUAUCUUGGGUGUGUUGUUGUUGUUGUUGUUGGUGG